rnacentral:rRNA from 1 species
GGACUCAGGUGAGUGGGAUGAAUAUUCUAAGGCGAUUGAGUGAAACUUGGUUAAGAACUCGGCAACUUGAUACUGUAACUUCGGGAUAAAGUAUGCUUAACCUCUUCGGAGGGAAGCCGCAGUGAAAUGGGAGUAGCGACUGUUUAUCAAAAACACAGGCAUGUGCUAAGUCACAAGACGACGUAUACAUGCUGACGCCUGCCCGGUGCUGGAAGGUUAAGAGGAGGGGUCAACUUCGGUGAAGCCUCGAAUUGAAGCCCCAGUAAACGGCGGCCGUAACAAUAACGGUCCUAAGGUAGCGAAAUUCCUUGUCGGGUAAGUUCCGACCUGCACGAAUGGCGUAACGACUUCUUCGGUGUCUCAACCAAGUGCUCAGCGAAACCGAAAACUCGGUGCAAAUGCCGGGUACCCGCAGAUGGACGGAAAGACCCCGUGAACCUUUACUGUAGCUUGGCAGUGACCUUUGAAUUACUAUGUGUAGCAUAGGUGGGACCCUUUGAAGUGAGGACGCUAGUCUUCAUGGAGGGGCCAUUGAAAUACCACCCUUAGUGAUUUAGAGGUCUAACCUGCACCCAUUAACUGGGUGAGGGACACUGUCUGGUGGGCAGUUUGACUGGGGCGGUCGCCUCCAAAAAAGUAACGGAGGCGUACGAAGGUUCUCUCAGCCUGAUUAGAAACCAGGCGUCGAGCGCAUUGGCAUAAGAGAGCUUAACUGCGAGACCUACAAGUCGAGCAGGUGCGAAAGCAGGUCAAAGUGAUCCGGUGGUCCCGCGUGGAAGGGCCAUCGCUCAACGGAUAAAAGUUACUCCGGGGAUAACAGGCUUAUCUCCCCCAAGCGUCCACAGCGACGGGGAGGUUUGGCACCUCGAUGUCGGCUCAUCACAUCCUGGGGCUGGAGCAGGUCCCAAGGGUUCGGCUGUUCGCCGAUUAAAGUGGUACUCGAGCUGGGUUCAGAACGUCGUGAGACAGUUUGGUCCUCAUCCUCUGUGGGCGUAGGAAAAUUGAAGAGACCUGUCCUUAGUACGAGAGGACCGGGAUGGACGAACCUCUGGUGUUCCAGUUGUCAUACCAAUGGCAGUUCUGGGUAGCUAUGUUCGGUUUGGAUAACCGCUGAAAGCAUCUAAGCGGGAAACCAACUCUAAGAUUAGUUUUCCCUGGGGCUUCGGCCCCCUAAAGACUCCUCCGAGACUAGGAGGUUGAUAGGUGGAAGGUGUACGCACAGAAAUGUGUUUAGCUGAUCCAUACUAAUAGUCGUGAGGCUUUAUU